UGAUGGAAAUAAUUUUUUUCUGAUAAAUAUAUUUUUUACACUUUAAAAAAAAACAAGCAUCCUAUCUUUAUUAGUUUACAAUACACAUAUAUGUAUACCACUUUGCAAAUAUCGUAAAGAAUAAUUCUCUCAUCGCGAAUACACAUCAAUCUUUGGUUUGACUAUUAAUAAUACCUUAUCAGCGCAAUAACUCGCAGUGUAACAUUAAUUCUGAAACGUGAACAAAUUUCUCUUCAUAAGUAUUAUAUAGUCAUCACUAUAUUCUAAUGUGUACAUAUAUAUACGCAAUGGAAAGUGAAAUUUUGAGCUGCACAAUGAUUUGGACAAAACAUAUAUUAUAAGACAAUCUUGAGGUUAUAGACUUUGUUAGAAACUCACGGGGAAGACUAUAGCUUCCGACUUUCGUUUGUUCGUUCGUUAUAUAGACUGCGAGAGAUCAUCAGGUGAGAAUUCAAGACGGAGAAAGUGCUUUUCGGUAUAUAUCGUGUAGGAAAAAGAAGACAGUCAAUCCUUUAUAUAUAUAUAUAUAUAGUUAUAUCUUGGAGACUCGAAGAGCAAAAGGUAAACGCGAACAAACUUUCUGCGAAGGCAAGCCGCGCAGCAUCCAAUGAACUGGGGGAGCGACCUAAGGAAAUUGUCGAGAGUCGACCGGUUUCUUCACCAAUCGCUGAAUAAGACGAUGUCAUCGUGCCAAGAAAAGUGGCAUUUAUUUCUCUGCUAGAAGGAUAUUUCAUUCACGCCGAUAUGACAACCUGAAGGACAAAAGAUGAAUGAAAUUGUACGGGGAUUAAUAUUCAAAAACAUAAAUGAACUACUUUUGACGGUGAGUAAUUUUGUAAUUUUAUUUUAUAAAUUAGAUUAGACUAAUAGGAUAUCAAAUUUUUUCCC